rfam:Oryza sativa (indica cultivar-group) chromosome 3, whole genome shotgun sequence.
AAUAUAUGGGGUUUUGAGUUUUUCUUGCAAUAUUUGACCACUCGUCUUAUUUAAAUUUUUUUAAAAUUAUUAUUUAUUUUAUUUGUGAUUUACUUUAUUAUCUACCGUACUUUAAGCACAACUUUUCAUUUUUUGUAUUUGCAAAAAGAAUUUGAAUAAGACGAGUGGUCAAAUGUUACAAGUCAAAACUCAAAAUCCCUUAUA